rnacentral:tRNA from 1 species
AGAAGCUUAGGAUAACAAGACCAGGAGCCUUCAAAGCUCCUAGCAGGAGUUAAAACCUCCUAGUUUCUG